GAGUUUGAUCGUGGCUCAGAUUGAACGCUGGCGGCAUGCCUUACACAUGCAAGUCGAACGGCAGCAUGAUCUAGCUUGCUAGAUUGAUGGCGAGUGGCGAACGGGUGAGUAAUACAUCGGAACGUGCCCUGUAGUGGGGAUAACUAGUCGAAAGAUUAGCUAAUACCGCAUACGACCUGAGGGUGAAAGUGGGGGACCGCAAGGCCUCAUGCUAUAGGAGCGGCCGAUGUCCGAUUAGCUAGUUGGUGGGUAAAGGCCCACCAAGGCGACGAUCAGUAGCUGGUCUGAGAGGACGAUCAGCCACACUGGGACUGAGACACGGCCCAGACUCCUACGGGAGGCAGCAGUGGGGAAUUUUGGACAAUGGGCGAAAGCCUGAUCCAGCAAUGCCGCGUGUGUGAAGAAGGCCUCGGUUGUAAGU
rnacentral:rRNA from 1 species